rnacentral:lncRNA from 1 species
UUGCAUAUAGUCCUUGUUGGAAUAGAAGGUACAGGAAAAAAACAAACAAACAAAAACAAAAACCAACAACAAACCCAAAACUAUAAAGUCUUGGAAUUAAGAUCAGGAGUAGUGGGUAAGUAGGUGUGCAUUGAGUUGAUCUAAAUGAAGAGGUGACACUUCUUGGCCUGAGGUUCCUGGUUCUUCUCUGACACUUCAGCCCAUUUCUCUUAGGUCCUCUGCAACCCAGCUGAAGAAUGAAGGCACCGUAGAGCAAAGAAAGGUCUAGGAUGCUGAAAAGAGAGCAGAUCCCGAUCCUUGAGAUUUGAAGAACAAGUGGCCGGUCUCUUUGGCUCCAUCAUCACUUUCCAAAUCUACCUGGCAGGGAGGCUCUAGAGGCUUACAACUGUCUGACCAGCAAACACAGGGUCCAGAGGUGAAUCUCUGCUUUAAGUGGUCAGAGAAGAUGAGCGAGAAGAGUUGGUGUAUCUGUACCCUGCCUCUGACAUCAACCACAUAUAGAGCCUGGAGGUAGUGGAGCAUUCACCGGACCUGACCUCAACUGGACAGAAGAAUGUGGUGGGCUGCUGGUGGUCAACACCGUUUUUCGCUUCCCUCACCCUUCCAGCCUAAUUCAGUGAGGACCAGAG